GCUCCAUUAGCUCAGUAGGUAGAGCACACGACUUUUAAUCGUGUGGCCGUGGGUUCUAGCCCCACAUGGAGUA